rnacentral:rRNA from 1 species
GAUGAACGCUGGCGGCGUGCCUAAUACAUGCAAGUCGAGCGAACGGACGAGAAGCUUGCUUCUCUGAUGUUAGCGGCGGACGGGUGGGUAACACGUGGAUAACCUACCUAUAAGACUGGGAUAACUUCGGGAAACCGGAGCUAAUACCGGAUAAUAUUUUGAACCGCAUGGUUCAAAAGUGAAAGACGGUCUUGCUGUCACUAAUAGAUGGAUCCGCGCUGCAUUAGCUAGUUGGUAAGGUAACGGCUUACCAAGGCAACGAUGCGUAGCCGAUCUGAGAGGGUGAUCAGCCACACUGGAACUGAGACACGGUCCAGACUCCUACGGGAGGCAGCAGUAGGGAAUAUUCCGCAAUGGGCGAAAGCCUGACGGAGCAACGCCGCGUGAGUGAUGAAGGUCUUCGGAUCGUAAAACUCUGUUAUUAGGGAAGAACAUAUGUGUAAGUAACUGUGCACAUCUUGACGGUACCUAAUCAGAAAGCCACGGCUAACUACGUG